AGCAGCCGCGGUAAUUCCAGCUCCAAUAGCGUAUAUUAAAGUUGUUGCAGUUAAAAAGCUCGUAGUUGAAUUUUAGACUUGGCCGGGCGGUCCGUCUUUGGCGAGUACUGUCCUGUUGUCGGGUCUUCCUUCUGGUGAACCAGUAUGUCCUUAAUUGGGUGUGUUGGGGAGCCAGGACCAUUACCUUGAAAAAAUUAGAGUGUUUAAAGCGGGCUAUUGCUUGAAUAGAUUAGCAUGGAAUAAUAGAAUAGGACGUUGUGGUUCUAUUUUGUUGGUUUCUAGGACCACCGUAAUGAUUAAUAGGGAUAGUUGGGGGCAUUAGUAUUCAAUUGUCAGAGGUGAAAUUCUUGGAUUUAUUGAAGACUAACUAUUGCGAAAGCAUUUGCCAAGGAUGUUUUCAUUAAUCAAGAACGAAAGUUAGGGGAUCGAAGACGAUCAGAUACCGUCGUAGUCUUAACCAUAAACUAUGCCGACUAGGAAUCGGGCGACGUUAUUUUCAUGACUCGCUC
rnacentral:rRNA from 1 species